rnacentral:rRNA from 1 species
CGUAUCACCCAAGACAACUUUACGGAGUUGACGAUUGACGGAGCGAAGCGACGUCAAAGCGUUCAUUAAAGUCGAGUUGGCUUAGGGAUACGUUCGUUGGGUAGGGGAGCGUUCUGUAAGCCUGUGAAGGUGUGUCGUGAGGCAUGCUGGAGGUAUCAGAAGUGCGAAUGCUGACAUAAGUAACGAUAAAGCGGGUGAAAAGCCCGCUCGCCGGAAGACCAAGGGUUCCUGUCCAACGUUAAUCGGGGCAGGGUGAGUCGACCCCUAAGGCGAGGCCGAAAGGCGUAGUCGAUGGGAAACGGGUUAAUAUUCCCGUACUUGGUGUUACUGCGAAGGGGGGACGGAGAAGGCUAUGUUGGCCGGGCGACGGUUGUCCCGGUUUAAGCGUGUAGGUGUGUGUUCCAGGUAAAUCCGGUUCACUUUAACACUGAGGCGUGACGACGAGGCACUACGGUGCUGAAGCAACAAAUGCCCUGCUUCCAGGAAAAGCCUCUAAGCAUCAGGUAACACGAAAUCGUACCCCAAACCGACACAGGUGGUCAGGUAGAGA